rnacentral:rRNA from 1 species
CCGCGGCAAGACGGAAAGACCCCGUGAACCUUUACUAUAGCUUGACACUGAACACUGGUCCUUGAUGUGUAGGAUAGGUGGGAGGCUUUGAAGUGUGGACGCCAGUCUGCAUGGAGCCAUCCUUGAAAUACCACCCUUUAAUGGCUGGUGUUCUAACGUGGACCCGUAAUCCGGGUUGCGGACAGUGUCUGGUGGGUAGUUUGACUGGGGCGGUCUCCUCCUAAAGAGUAACGGAGGAGCACGAAGGUUAGCUAAUCCUGGUCGGACAUCAGGAGGUUAGUGCAAAGGCAUAAGCUAGCUUGACUGCGAGAGUGACGGCUCGAGCAGGUGCGAAAGCAGGUCUUAGUGAUCCGGUGGUUCUGAAUGGAAGGGCCAUCGCUCAACGGAUAAAAGGUACUCCGGGGAUAACAGGCUGAUACCGCCCAAGAGUUCAUAUCGACGGCGGUGUUUGGCACCUCGAUGUCGGCUCAUCACAUCCUGGGGCUGAAGUAGGUCCCAAGGGUAUGGCUGUUCGCCAUUUAAAGUGGUACGCGAGCUGGGUUUAGAACGUCGUGAGACAGUUCGGUCCCUAUCUGCCGUGGGCGCUGGAGAAUUGAGGGGGGCUGCUCCUAGUACGAGAGGACCGGAGUGGACGCAUCACUGGUGUUCGGGUUGUCAUGCCAAUGGCAUUGCCCGGUAGCUAAAUGCGGAAGAGAUAAGUGCUGAAAGCAUCUAAGCACGAAACUUGCCCCGAGAUGAGUUCUCCCUGAGACUUUAAGUCUCCUGAAGGAACGUUGAAGACGACGACGUUGAUAGGUCGGGUGUGUAAGCGUAGCGAUACGUUGAGCUAACCGAUACUAAUGAACCGUGAGGCUUAACCUUACAACGCCGAAG